AAGCACCAAGGAAAGACUGUAUGAGGACACAGUGAGAAGAAGCUGUCUGCAAGCCAAGAAGACCCCUUUCCAAAAGCCAACCAUGCAGGCACCCUGAUCUUGGACUUUGCAGCCUCUAAAACUGUGAGAAAACAAAUUUCAGUUAUUUAUCCACCUAGUCUGUGACAUUUUGUUAUGGCAGCCUGAACAGAAUAAGACACCCACAAAGAAAGAAAGAAGCACUGAUUUUGACAAGUACCCAUGGAUGAGAGUACUUUGUGGA
rnacentral:lncRNA from 1 species